GACGAACGCUGGCGGCGUGCCUAACACAUGCAAGUCGAACGGGGCACCUUCGGGUGCUUAGUGGCGAACGGGUGAGUAACGCGUGAGGAACCUGCCCCUGCGAGAGGGAUAACGACCGGAAACAGUCGCUAAUACCUCAUGACACAUACGGAUCGCAUGUUCUGUAUGUCAAAGAUUUAUCGCACAGGGAUGGCCUCGCGUCUGAUUAGCUAGAUGGCGGGGUAACGGCCCACCAUGGCGACGAUCAGUAGCCGGUCUGAGAGGAUGAACGGCCACAUUGGGACUGAGAUACGGCCCAGACUCCUACGGGAGGCAGCAGUGGGGAAUAUUGGGCAAUGGGGGAAACCCUGACCCAGCAACGCCGCGUGAAGGAAGAAGGCCUUCGGGUUGGUAAACUUACUUUUACCUAGGGACGAAGAACGUGACGGUACCUGGAGAAAAAGACAACGGCUAACUACGUG
rnacentral:rRNA from 1 species